CCUACGGGGGGCAGCAGUGGGGAAUAUUGGGCAAUGGGCGCAAGCCUGACCCAGCAACGCCGCGUGAAGGAAGAAGGCUUUCGGGUUGUAAACUUCUUUUGUCAGGGAAGAGUAGAAGACGGUACCUGACGAAUAAGCCACGGCUAACUACGUGCCAGCAGCCGCGGUAAUACGUAGGUGGCAAGCGUUAUCCGGAUUUACUGGGUGUAAAGGGCGUGUAGGCGGGAGUGCAAGUCAGAUGUGAAAACUAUGGGCUCAACCCAUAGCCUGCAUUUGAAACUGUACUUCUUGAGUGCUGGAGAGAUAAUCGGAAUUCCGUGUGUAGCGGUGAAAUGCGUAGAUAUACGGAGGAACACCAGUGGCGAAGGCGGAUUGCUGGACAGUAACUGACGCUGAGGCGCGAAAGCGUGGGGAGCAAACAGGAUUAGAUACCCUAGUAGUC
rnacentral:rRNA from 1 species